CUGCUUACUUUGGCAGCACAUAUACUAAAACUGGAACCAUACAGAGGAGAGCAUGGUCCCUCCACAAGGAUGACACGAAAAUUCGUGAGGCAGUCCAUAUUUUU
ensembl:snRNA U6 U6 spliceosomal RNA